rfam:Sodalis sp. TME1 1.TCA.454Reads_contig_17774, whole genome shotgun sequence.
CCAUCAACAUAUUGAAUACAUGACCCCACCACGGGUAGCGGCGCGGGCUGACGCAUACAGGAAUCCAGAAAAAAGCCCGCACCUUGACAGUGCGGGCUUUUUUUAA